GGACGUUGAAUACCAACCGUUAUUAUAAUUCACCGACCGCUACGUUAAACCGUCGAUAAUACCUACCGUCUUAAUAAACACCAACCGCUUUUAUUUCCGUAGGUAAUUACCGACCGAUUUUCGCAUAUCACCGACCGUAGGGGCUUUGGUAAAUUACUACUAGUAGUUUCAGAAUUUUUACAACCACGUUUUCCUUUUUCACUCUAUAGUAAUCAGUAAUUAAAAAAUAACCCUAACAUUGCCUUGGAGAAACCAACGCCUCCUUCUCCCUUCACCAUCGUCGUCGCCGGUAUUCCUUCAUCUCCAUAGUGCUAUCGUCGCCGGUUUCAGUUCUCUAACCUGCCGCAUCACCGUCACAACGGGUCAACUGCACAACCAUCGUGCGCACCAUCGUUUCUUGGUUUGUUUCGCCAACCCACAACAGGUUUUCUCUUAUCCCUCUUUCUUGGUCUAUUUUGAAUUUCAUGAAAUCAACCCACAAUCGCACCAUUCUAGUUUCUUUGUAAUUUCAUGGAUUUCAUCUUAGUUGAGUGAAUUAUGUUUAAUUUCAUGGUCUGUUAUGUUCUUUUGUCAUGAAUAUGUGAUUUUGUCUGUUUACUUGAUAUCACUUGAGGUGGAAUACUAAUUACGCAUAAACAACCUUGCAUAUAACCAUUUGUAUGUUUACAGAAGGUUCUUUGUCAAUACUUGAAUGAGAUUACUAAUGAAAAGCUAUAGAGGGAUUACUUAAGAGUACAUAUCUUAAUGACAUUACCAAUGGAGUUACAUGCAUCAACAUUUGUGAUGCGUCAGACUUAUAAAAUGUGUAAGCACAAAUCCAGAUGACAUAAUGUUCAACUAUAUGGCAGAGGCAGCUAGAACUACUUUCGUUACCAAUUGCAUGAUUCUUAAUAAAAUUGAUGCUCUUAGAGGUGAAGUUUUGGAGGCAAUCAACACCAAGAUACCCAAUAGUAUGAAUCUACACCAUCUUCCCUCUCUCACUACUCUACCGCCAACUCCAAGUGAAUGGAACUUCUCUCUAUUAGAUCCAACUUAUGGAAGGAAUACACUAACUGCUUAGAAUCAAGAAUGGUUAGACAAAAGUAGUCCAAGUUCAGUCAUCUAUGUCACCUAUGUAAGCUUAUCCAUAUUAACCAAGGUACAGUUACGACAUUACAUAAUUAGGUAAAAGCAUAUCUCAGAGUUAUGAGGUUGUGUCACGCAAAAUCACACAUGUUAGGAGCACAUUGGUGCGCCUAACGUGACAUGACCAAUAGACAGUGUACACGCUUUAAAAAAGAUAGAAAAGCAAAUUGCGUAUCACGUGGAGUAGUUCGCCAAGCGCAUGACACUGUGUGAGACAGUGCCUUAUGUAAGGUGCAUAUUGGUGCACUUGACACUGGUGGACAAAGUUGCGCCUGACGCAACAUGGUGCGCCAGGUGCACGACCUUACUUUUUUGACACGCUUUGACAACUCUUUUAGAUAAAAAACAUGUUUUGACGAUAUUUGUUUAUCUUUUGACUUCGGAAAUUCGAUUUUAAUUAUGAAAAUGUCAUUGAAAAUAUUUAUUUAUUAAAAUAAGCUAGUUAAUUAUCAUGAAUAAUUAAUCAUUAGGCUUUUUUUUAAAGAAUUAGGCUUAAAUGCAAUUAAUUAUCAAGAAUAAUUGAUUGGGCUUUAAAAUAGGACUUUAACACUUUACGAAAUAGUUUUCGGGGUGGCGUUUCGGUCUACUCUCCCCUUAGGUCGGACAAAUUAAAACUGCACUAUGUUUCAUCAUCGGAUCCUGAAAUGGGGAGAUACGAUUAUGUGUCUGCAGAAGCCCCCCACUUUGACUAAGGAUCAGGAACCGAAAGUCAAAAUAUACGGUGUCGGGACGAAGAACGAUUCUAAACGCUUUGCAAUUUUGAACUGAUCUAUUGGUACAAGUAAAGGUUUAAAGUCAACUCUUGAAGGAGAGCCUAUUUAUCUAGUCCUUGAAGCAUUUGGGUUCAAGCUCAAUUCAAACUCUUCUUUUGUGUCCAUGAUUAAGUGGGAAGAUGAUCAAAUCCAAGAAGCAUGAAGUUGGCAUCAUUUAGAGUCUUAGCUAAUAAAAGGCCGAAAUAUCGUUCUUUUGACCAUAUUAGAGUUUCGGAGUCCUUGUGUUCCAAGUAUGCAAGUUGUCAUUGAGUUGUAAUAUGCUCUAGUAAUAUUGUUCACAUUAGGCAUGUAAGGGGGGAUUUGGGGUUGAUUUGUUUUUUUUUUUCCUUAUUUUCUCCUUUAUUCUCUACUAGAAUAUAGGGAUUAUGAGGCAAGAUGCUGGAUUGUAUUUCGUAAACUACAUGGCUGAAUUUUCGGCUAGUUGGGUGCUUGGAGGGCAAGUUAAUUCUUGUCAUGAAUAAUCAUAUUAUGCUACAUUACAAGGA